AUCCGAAUAGAGUGUGUAAGCUUGAGAAGUCCAUUUAUGGACUUAAGCAAGCGUCUCGCAGAUGGAAUCUUUGCUUCGAUGAGAAAGUCAAAGAGUUUGGAUUUGUACGAAGCGAAGACGAAUCUUGUGUAUAUGUCAAAGCCAGUGGGAGUAUAGUAAGCUUCCUCGUUCUAUAUGUCGAUGACAUAUUACUCAUAGGAAACGACAUCCCGACUCUGCAGGAGGUUAAGUCCUGGCUCGGGAAGUGCUUCGCUAUGAAGGACCUCGGAGAGGCUUCUUACAUUUUGGGAAUAAGGAUAGUAAGAGAAAGAAGUAAGAGACUAAUUGGACUUAGUCAGAAUACUUACUUAGAGAAGGUACUAAAACGUUUUAGUAUGGAAAACUCAAAGAAGGGAGAACUACCGAUACAAAGUAAUGCCAAAUUGAGUAAGACUCAAAGUCCGAGUACCGAAGCUGAGAUAGCAGAAAUGAGCCGAGUACCAUACGCUUCCGCAGUUGGCUCAAUCAUGUACGCUAUGACUUGUACUCGCCCUGAUGUAGCCUUCGCUUUGAGCAUGGUUAGCAGAUAUCAAGGGAAUCCUGGCAAAGCACAUUGGAUUGCGGUGAAGAAUAUCCUUAAGUACCUUCGGAGGACGAAGGAAUGGUUCUUAGUCCUCGGAGGGAGUGAUGACUUGAAGGUGCGAGGGUAUAGUGACGCCAGUUUUCAGACCGACAGGGACAACUACCGUUCGCAGUCGGGCUGGGUCUUUACCCUAAAUGGAGGAGCAGUGACAUGGAAGAGUUCCAAGCAGGAAACCGUAGCUGAUUCAACGUGCGAAUCAGAGUACAUUGCAGCGAGCGAAGCGUCGAAGGAGGCAAUAUGGCUAAAGAACUUCAUCGGUGAUCUUGGAGUCGUACCUGCCAUAAAGGAGCCAAUGGAGAUUUUCUGUGAUAACGAAGGUGCGGUUGCCUUAACCAAGGAACCGAGGGAUCAUGGUAGAUCAAGACAUAUCGACAGAAAGUAUCACUUCAUUAGACAUCGUGUAGAAGAAGGACAACUCGUAGUGAAGAGGAUAUCAUCAGAAGAUAACCCAGCAGAUCCGCUUACGAAGGGACUGAGUAGGGUUAAGCACUUGCAGCAUGCUAGGAGUAUUGGGCUGAAGGAUGAUAUUAGCAUAGAUUAGAUAGUAUUAGAAACGUGUAAUAGAUAAAUGUAAUUGACAUUUGAUGAUUAAAUAAAGGAGUUUUAUUUAUGAGUAAUGUUACUAUCUUAUGUUAAUUGUUUAGCUAUUGUUUCACUUUGCAUGUUUUGACUUCCAGAAUAAUUGAGUUUAUUAGGAAUAAUCGAAUUAUUCAAAUGGUCCACAAUCGUUCAUAUGUUGGGAGUAGAUAUGAAAGAAGAUUGUCAUGAAUUGGUGUGUAGAAUGUCUAAAUGGUGUUAGACAUAGCAAAGGAUUGCUGCAACGUUCAUGAGUGCUUAUGAACUAGUUUUGAGCAUUGGAAUAAACCCGCGCUUGCUGGAAUCACCUUAUGGAAUACGAUAUAAAAGGUGAUCGCAAGACGAUAAUAUCAUAUAGUCUUAAAACCUAGAUAUAUGGUUUAUUAUUUGUUAAUUGAUUGUACAUUGAUAAUACGAAAACGCAUCAGUAACUUGGUGUUAUAAAACGUAUUGUUGUGUAUAGUUGGUUAAUGAAUAAGUAAAUGCAUAUAAGUCGAAGUUUAUCUGUAACUUUUAUCUAAGAAGGUAAAAGCGAUAUCUCGGCCGCUCGAUGAUUUGAUUUGACUUAUGUGCCGGGCCCGGUCAGAACUGAAUUGAUGUGUUCGAUUAAGUUCUAUGUCAAAUAAAUCAGAGAUCGAGAAACCUAAAUGCUUGACUAACCAUUCCAUAGGAUUGUCAGCAUGAUAUCUAACAGAGGACUGUACGUUCCCUUAUCUAAAGGACAAGAUUGAUUAGAUCAGAGUUGACAGCGUCUUUGAGAGCUACGAUUGCAAACCGAAUUGUACUUGUAUAGUUACUAGACUUAUCCAAGUGGGAGACUGUUGGAAUAGUGUCUAAGGCUGUAACUAUAUCCGGUUGUGCAUGGUCCUUUUGGGUUGCCUUCACCAUAGCAACUUGAUAGGAUGAUUUAUUAAGAGAGAAUAAAUAUUAUUAAUAUAUUAUGGGAAUAAUAUAAUGAAUAAUAUAUUUGUUAUUUGAUUAAUAUAAGUCAUAGAAUUAAUUAGAAUUAAUUUGGUGACUUAAAGAGAUUAAUUAAAUAAAGGGGUAUAAACUGUCAAUUGUUUGAUAGUUAAGCUUUAAACUGUAAAUCCAUUUGGAUAUACUAUGGACGAAUUCUAAGAGGAUUAGGAUAGCUAAAAUCGUCCAUUAGAGUUAUCUAGGAAUGGAUUUGGAUAGCCUUAAGAGAAGAUUAUCUGAUAGGGACUUAUCUGUAAUCCUUAAGGAGUCUACAAGUAUAAAUAGACCCCAUGGCUGAUGGAAUUCGACACUUGACCUAAAGUAAGGAACCUCUGGUCGAAAUUCCUCCCCUCUCCUCUCUCCCAAAUCAUCCUCCUUGCUUUGGUGUUUGUAAGCCAUUAGAGGAGUGACAUUUGUGACUCUAGAAGCUCCAAGACCUCAAGAUCAACAAGGAACUCAAAGGUAUGAUUCUAGAUCUGUUUUAAUGUUCUUGUUUAACCUAAUUAGUAAUUAGAAGUCUUGGAUUCAAAGCAUGUUUAUUAGAAAGCCUAGAUCCAAGCAUUAGGGUUUUGCAUGCGCACAUAGGAAAGUUCUUAUGGCUAAAACCCAUCAGUGGUAUCAGAGCCUAGCUUGGUUUUCUGUAAAUUGUUGCUUGAUUAACUGAAACAAACCUGCAAAAUUCGAAUUUUUGGUUUCUGAGUCAUGGACUCGGCGAGUCUCAAAGUGGACUCGGCGAGUAGGCCUGACUCGGCGAGUCCAUUUGUGCACUCGGCGAGUCCAGGCGUCAGGAAUGGCCAGAUUCGGGAUUUCUUUGUGUUUAUCUUAUCUUAACUUACCAUAAACUAAUUAGAUCAACAUUAAUUCGUUUUUCUGAUAAAUAUAACUAUUAUCUUGAUCUAGUUAAAGGUAAUUAUCAACUAAUUAAAUAUUUAAUUUCCUUAUAUGAUAAUUAAUUAAUUAUUUUGAUUAUUUUGGUAAUUAUCUUUAAAAGAAAUCUUGAAUAAAUCAAAUAUAGAUAAUUAGGAUAUUAAUUGUUAAUUGGAAUUAUUUGUUAUUUGAUCCUCCAUGUUUUAAAUGUUUAAAACCUACCCUCAUGUUUUGAAAUUUACUUUUGUGAUUAAAAGUUUUAAUUUAGACAACUUAAAUUUCAAACCCUAGAUUUUAAAAGUUUUAAAAUACAACCCUAUACUAAUAUGAUAUUACUAGAAUAAUAUAUAUAUGUAUAACUAAAUGCUAGUCUUACCGUUAGUAGGCCUCAUUCACGAAGCCGAUCUAUAAGGUGGGUAUAAGGUUGCGGCCUAUAAAAUGGCGCUUAAUGGGUGUACACUCACACCCACCGCUUGCUUGAUUGGUGGAGGGUCGUUAGCCGAACGGGUAGGAUAGGGCAACCUCAUCCUCUCAUUAAAAGUAUAAUAAGAAAUAUAAAGUAACUACACAUUUUUUUAAAAUUUCCCAAUCCUAGUUACUUUAGGAAAAGUGAAUUGAUGCAAUCCCAUGAAAUUACACUUUGCACCUUGCUAAGAUGUUAGUGGAGCGUGUGUGGUUUACCGGCACACUAAUUGGUUCUAAGCGAAGGUGGCAAAGGGUGAUUCAUUGUUUAUCAUAGUUCGAUGGAGCGUGUGUGGUUUACCGGCACAUCGAAUAGGUGAUUGUUACAAUGAAGGCACCAUGUGAAUUUGCAUGGUAAUUCACACCCGCUUUGUGAUCCUCGGCAUCCCAGUCACAAACAAGAGGGGCAUAUCGAGAUUUAAACAUGCCAUUGAAUAGUUUCAAUGAAUCUCAUCCGAACCUAGGAAUUCUCAAAAACACUUAGGACUAAUAGUUUAAGUUUUGUGAUGGAGAAUUAGUGAAUCGUCAUUCACUUACCUUCAAUUUAUUUGCAUGUUAGAUUACGGCAUCCCUUUUCUAGUAUGUAAAUGUUAUUGUUGGAUCCUAGCCCUAAUUUUCUUAUUGGGUGAUAAUUAGGGAUUCUUAUUCUAAUCUAUCUUUGUCCUUUUCUAAUUGUAGAUGUCGAACGCAAACAACGCUGCUGCUAGUUCUUUCACGUUGAUGAGCCUUUGCCAAAAGGUCACCUUCGAUGGAACGAACUUUAGCGAAUGGAUAAGAUACAUUCGCACCAUUGCUCGCUAUGAGGAUAAGGAGUAUGUCCUCGAUGAGAAGCUCGAGAAAAUCAACCCCGAAAUUGCUACUCCCGCCGAAAUCACCGCCUUUGAAACUCAUGAGCGAGAUGCAACGAAGGUACAUUGCAUCAUGAUCGCCACCAUGAACUCCGAAUUCCAAAAGUCCUACGAGGACAUGUACCCGUACGAGAUGCAUCAAGACUUAUUGGAGAGGUACCACCAAAACGCGAGACAAGAGAGGUACGAGAUUUUCACUAACAUGAUUUCCGCGAAGAUGGGUCAUGGAGAAUCUCUUACCGUGCACUUGCAAAAGAUGCAAAGGUAUGUUGACCGCCUCCGCAAGUUAAAUGUUGACUUCGGUGAAGACUUGGCGAUCGACAUGGUGCUUCACUCUUUGCCUCCGAUGUACAACCAAUUUAGGAUGACCUACCACAUGAACAAAGAAGAGGUCACCCUAAGCAAGCUCCAAGGUCUCUUGAGGGUUGCUGAGAGCAACUUCAAAGACAAGUCUGUUGCACCUACUCCCAAUCCGCCCGCUGCUCCUGUCUUGGCUAUUGGACAAGGGAAGGGAAAGAAGAGGAAAGCUUCAUCGAAGAACUAUCGCAAGGUGAAAGCCCGAGAUGGUGCCUCUUCUAGUGGGACCAAAGUUGAUCCCGCCAAGCCCUGCUCUAACCCGAAGGAGGCAGAGUGCCACCACUGCCACAAGAUAGGACAUUGGAAGAGAAGCUGCCCGGAUUACCUGCAAGCAAUCAAAGAAGGAAAGAUCAAGCCAUCUUUCGCAGGUAUAUAUACAAUCAAAUCUAACGAUUCUAAUCAUGCUAUUUCUUGGGUUCUUGAUACCGGUUGUGGUUAUCACAUUUGUUCUAAUGUGCAGGGACUAAGAAGAAGUAGGGAUGUGGAGCAAGGAAGGAUCAAUCUAAUCAUGGGGAACAGAAGAUCGUCGCCUGUGACCAAGAUUGGAGUGUAUUCCUUAGUGCUUAGGAAUAGUUUAGUUUUAGAUUUGAACAAUUGUUGCUAUUCGCCAGAAAUGGCAAGAAACAUCAUUUCAUUUCAUGGUUUAUAUAGACAAGGAUUUAGAUUUUCUUUUAAUAAUGAGAAUGGUUCUAUUUUGGCUUAUCUAAAUGGUGUCUUUUACUUUGAAGCUAUACCAUGUAAUGGAAUAUAUGAAACCGUUAUGAUUGUUGAUAACUUAGGAAAUGAUGUUUUGAAUAUUGAUUCUUCCACUAGUAUGGAUAAAGCAUCCUUGUGGCAUUGUCGUCUUGGACAUGUCAACAAGAAACGCAUAGCCCAACUCCAAAAGGAUGGAGUGUUGGAGUCAUUCGACCUUAGGGAAGAUGACACAUGCGAGUCUUGUUUGCUUGGAAAGAUGACUAAGUCACCCUUCACGAGUACAUGUGAAAGGGGCGAGGGUCUAUUGGACCUAAUACAUACCGAUGUAUGUGGACCGUUUAGAUCAACCACGAAGGAUGGGAACCGCUUCUAUGUGACUUUUACCGAUGACUAUAGUAGAUAUGGGUAUAUCUACUUAAUCAAGCAAAAGUCAGAAACCUUUGAAAAGUUCAAAGAGUUCAAGAAUGAAGUGGAGAAUCAAUUGGGCAGGAAAAUCAAGAUGCUUCGAUCCGAUCGAGGAGGAGAGUACCUAAGUCUUGAAUUCCACGAUUAUCUCAAGGAGUGUGGAAUAGUUUCGCAAUUGACGCCUCCUAGGACACCGCAGUUGAAUGGUGUGGCAGAAAGGCGUAAUCGAACCUUAUUGGAUAUGGUUCGCUCUAUGAUGAGUCGUGCUUCACUACCAAUCUCUUUUUGGGGGUAUGCCUUAGAGACUGCCGCCCAUAUCCUUAACCGAGUCCCUACUAAGAAGGUUGCCAAAACACCUCACGAGAUGUGGACAGGGAAAGCUCCCUCGUUGGCACAUAUCAAGGUUUGGGGUUGCGAGGCUUUCGUAAGACGAGAUACUCACGACAAGCUUGAACCUCGAAGUGAGCGAUGUAUUUUCAUCGGCUACCCGCAGACAUCCUUUGGAUAUCUCUUCUAUAGACCGAAGGACAAUGUUGUCUUCGUUGCGAGGAGAGGAGUUUUCCGAGAGCGAGAACUCAUAAGCCAAGGAGACAGUGGGAGGCAAAUCGAGCUUGAAGAGAUUCAAGAGUCGAUAGAUGAAGGAACCUCUACCGCUGGCACUCAACCCGAGGAGGAAACUCCGGUUGAACCGAUUGACGAAUCCUUACCUCUUAGACGUUCCGAUAGAGUUAGAGUUCUACCCCAGUUUUAUGGUUUUCAUAUUACUACCGAAGGGGACACGUAUAUUAGUGAUGGUACACUAAUAAAUCUUGAUGAACCUAAUAGCUAUAAGGAAGCCAUGGCAGGCCCGGAGUCUGCAAAAUGGAAAGAGGCAAUGGAUAGCGAGAUCCAAUCCAUGUAUGAUAACCAAGUUUGGAAUUUGGUUGAUUAUGUGCCCGGACGUAAGACCGUUGGGUGCAAAUGGAUCUUCAAGAAGAAGACCGACGUGGAUGGAAACGUACACACAUAUAAAGCGCGAUUGGUUGCGAAGGGCUUUACUCAAACUCCCGGAGUUGACUAUGAUGAGACCUUCUCACCAGUUGCGAAGAUUAAAUCUAUUAGAGUGAUGCUAGCAAUUGCCGCAUUUCAUGAUUAUGAGAUUUGGCAAAUGGAUGUCAAGACCGCUUUCCUUAACGGGAAGUUGGCUGAGGAUGUUUACAUGGCUCAGCCAGAGGGGUUUGUGGAUCCGAAGCAUCCGAAUAGAGUGUGUAAGCUUGAGAAGUCCAUUUAUGGACUUAAGCAAGCGUCUCGCAGAUGGAAUCUUUGCUUCGAUGAGAAAGUCAAAGAGUUUGGAUUUGUACGAAGCGAAGACGAAUCUUGUGUAUAUGUCAAAGCCAGUGGGAGUAUAGUAAGCUUCCUCGUUCUAUAUGUCGAUGACAUAUUACUCAUAGGAAACGACAUCCCGACUCUGCAGGAAGUUAAGUCCUGGCUCGGGAAGUGCUUCGCUAUGAAGGACCUCGGAGAAGCUUCUUACAUUUUGGGAAUAAGGAUAGUGAGAGAAAGAAGUAAGAGACUAAUUGGACUUAGUCAGAACACUUUCUUAGAGAAGGUACUGAAACGUUUUAGUAUGGAAAACUUAAAGAAGGGAGAAUUACCGAUACAAAGUAAUGCCAAUUUGAGUA
rnacentral:lncRNA from 1 species